rnacentral:misc_RNA from 1 species
AUCUCUCACAGGACCGAUUUGUCUUUGGACUCGUCGGCCCCUGUUGAUGUUGGAGGCUGCGGUUGAUUUCGACCGCUCCUCUCAAAUGCAUUGGUGCAGCCCGCUGCACAGUCUACACAACGUUCUAGGUUCGUCCAACUCGUUGCUUGGCUGUCGCAAUCCAAUGGUGCCGCACCUUAAGCCCGCCUCGUGCCUCGUGCUCCUGGCAUUACUUCAUU